AUUGAACGCUGGCGGCAGGCCUAACACAUGCAAGUCGAGCGCGCGGCGGACGGGUGAGUAAUGUCUGGGAAACUGCCUGAUGGAGGGGGAUAACUACUGGAAACGGUAGCUAAUACCGCAUACCAUCAGAUGUGCCCAGAUGGGUUUAGCUAGUGGGUGGGGUAACGGCUCAACUAGGCGACGCUCCCUAGCUGGUCUGAGCGGAUGACCAGCCACACUGGAACUGAGACACGGUCCAGACUCCUACGGGGGGCAGCAGUGGGGAAUAUGUCACAAUGGGCGCAAGCCUGAUGCAGCCAUUCCGCGUGUGUGAAGAAGGCCUUCGGGUUGUAAAGCUCUUUCAGCGGGGAGGCGUUACCCGCAGAAGAAGCACCGGCUAACUCCGUGCCAGCAGCCGCGGUAAUUC
rnacentral:rRNA from 1 species